AUUGAACGCUGGCGGCAGGCCUAACACAUGCAAGUCGAGCGGAUGAGUGGAGCUUGCUCCAUGAUUCAGCGGCGGACGGGUGAGUAAUGCCUAGGAAUCUGCCUGGUAGUGGGGGACAACGUUUCGAAAGGAACGCUAAUACCGCAUACGUCCUACGGGAGAAAGCAGGGGACCUUCGGGCCUUGCGCUAUCAGAUGAGCCUAGGUCGGAUUAGCUAGUAGGUGAGGUAAUGGCUCACCUAGGCGACGAUCCGUAACUGGUCUGAGAGGAUGAUCAGUCACACUGGAACUGGGAAACGGUCCAGAAUCCUGCGGGAGGCAGCAGUGGGGAAUAUUGGACAAUGGGCGAAAGCCUGAGCCAGCCAUGCCGCGUGUGUGAAGAAGGUCUUCGGAUUGUAAAGCACUUUAAGUUGGGAGGAAGGGCAGUAAGUUAAUACCUUGCUGUUUUGACGUUACCAACAGAAUAAGCACCGGCUAACUUCGUGCCAGCCGCCGCGGUAACAC
rnacentral:rRNA from 1 species